UACGGAGGGUGCGAGCGUUGUCCGGAAUUACUGGGCGUAAAGCGCGUGCAGGCGGCCUGUUAUGUCGAGUGUGAAAUCCCUCGGCUCAACCGAGGAACUGCGCCCGAAACUGGCAGGCUUGAGUGCGGGAGGGGAUGGUGGAAUUCCCGGUGUAGAGGUGAAAUUCGUAGAUAUCGGGAAGAAUACCGGUGGCGAAGGCGACCAUCUGGCCCGUUACUGACGCUCAGACGCGAAAGCGUGGGGAGCAAACAGG
rnacentral:rRNA from 1 species